CACGGGGGUUGCGAGCGUUGUCCGGAAUUACUAGGCGUAAAGGGCAGGCAGGCGGAUCCAUAAGUUUAUUCGUUUAAGGCGUCGGCUUAACCGGCGUAGGGCGGUAGAUACUGUGGAUCUGGAAUGCGGUUGGGGAAGGACAGAAUUCCUGGUGUAGCGGUGGAAUGCGCAGAGAUCAGGAGGGAUACCGAAGGCGAAGGCAGUCUUCCAAGCCGUUAUUGACGCUCAACUGCGAAGGUGUGGGUAUCAAACAGGAUUAGAUACCCCUGUAGUCCCUGAG
rnacentral:rRNA from 1 species